rnacentral:misc_RNA from 1 species
GGCGGGUAUUCAAGAAAUCUUCAAAGGCAUGAAAUUAUUGAGCAGGUUUUGGCUAUUGAGGAAAUCUUCAAACAUAGAGUGACAAAUGUAGUCUUCAUGGNAAUGGGUGAACCAAUGCUGAACUUGAAGUCUGUACUUGAAGCUCACCGAUGCUUGAAUAAGGAUGUGCAAAUUGGACAAAGAAUGAUCACGAUUUCCACUGUAGGGGUCCC